CCCCUAGAUGUUCUGGGCCGCACGCGCGCUACACUGAACAGUUCAACAAGUCUUAACCUUGGCCGAUAGGUCUGGGUAAUCUUUGAACGCUGUUCGUGAUUGGGAUAGACCUUUGCAAUUAUGGGUCUUCCACGAGGAAUUCCUAGUAAACGCAAGUCAUCAGCUUGCAUUGAUUACGUCCCUGCCCUUUGUACACACCGCCCGUCGCACCUACCGAUUGAAUGGUCCGGUGAAAUCUCGGGACGGCGGCUUGGUCGCUUGCGUCCGACUGCUGAAACUUGAUUAAACCAUAUCAUUUAGAGGAAGGUGAAGUCGUANCA
rnacentral:rRNA from 1 species